UUUACAUAUGGAUGUAUGUGUACAUGCUUAUAAUUGAUGAAAUCUUAAUGAGAACAUUAGUGGAACAUGAAUCUUUGAUAAUUUUUCUGAUCAGAAUAGUUAUUAACUCCAUGUUCUCCUGAAUUAAUUCCAGAGCUUUAAGACAUGUGAAGAAUAUAAACACCUUUAGGGCAGUGACUAUUUGUUUUUGCAUUUUAUUUAUAUCCCCAGUGGCAAUACAGUGCCUACUACAUAGUAGGCACUCAAAAAUGUGGAAAGUAAGAAAGGUAGAGACAAAGACAGAGACAGAGACAGACAAAGUGGAUGGAUAGAUAGAGGUAUCCAUAUUUUGAUCAGGGAGUUCACUGCUUUUUUGUGGAUCAAUAUGCAAGAAAUAAAAUGAUGUCCGAGAGAUAAUGUGAAUUUGUCUUGUUAUAGAUAACAUCUAAUUGCAUUUAAUGCAAUUAAAAUUAUUCCUCCUAAUAAUUUUUACUAAUUAAUAUUUAACUCCCUGAAAUGAUAGCGACAACAUUGUCAUUACCACAGAAUAUUUGUUUCCCCACCCCAAUUCCAACUACUGAAAUUGACCUCUGCUUCAAGGGUCAGUUAAAAUUUUGCUACAUAUAGAUGCACUUUUCCCCUUUCUCCUAACUACCAAUGAAAAAUAAACUAUUAAAAAUAUGAAUAAAGCUUUAGCUAUGAAAGGACAUCUCUGCAGCCAUCUAGUUAAAUAUCCUAAUUUUUAUAGAUAAGAUAAAGAAACUGAGAUAUAGUUUAGGUGUUGAUUUCCACAAAUAAGUAUUAAACUGUCAUUUCUCCUUCUUCAUAAAGUCAUCCAUCUAGAGAUGAAAGGACCUCAGUGGCUAUGUAGUACAAUUCUCUCAUUUUACAGAUGAAGAAAUGGGGCCCAAGGAAGGGAGGCACCUUGUCCAAGUAUCACAAAGGUGCUGUGGGAUGGACCAGCCUCUCACAGGGGAUAGGGUCUUGUAGGUGGGAUGAUGUCAGUGAAAUGAUGGAUGGGAUCCAGCUUUUGCAUUCAACCCACAGCACAGGUUUCAUAGAAUAAACUGCUCUACCUUUACUGAGGCCUGGCUUUAUUUUAUAGCCUCAUGAUCAUACAUCUACUUAGCACACAGUUUCAUUCUCAACAUACAUGUUUCCAUAGAACUUAACAACAGACAGGUAACCUAGGGAGAUAGUCAAUGAAACAUUGUUGCUAAGGGCAAGAUCAGUGGGUAGAAUCAACAUGAACCAGAUAUAGGUUAGGGAAUUCAGAGCAUAGAUUUACCAGAAGUUUUUAUUCCUAGAAAAGAGGGUCCUAUCUAAGUGGGUAUAUAAGAAUCCUUAGGUUUAGUUUUGUAAGUGGGCUCUCCUGGUAAUAUCCUGGGGGGACAGAGUGGGACAUCUGUAUUAACCCUGCAAGUAUGUUGCUCUCAUCUAUUUUUCCUGGGGCUAAGUAAGAAUAAUAAUCAUGGCAAUUCCAAUAAUAAAGGGAUGUUAAUAAUGAAAGUCA
rnacentral:lncRNA from 1 species